rnacentral:rRNA from 1 species
GACGAACGCUGGCGGCGUGCUUAACACAUGCAAGUCGAACGGAAAGCCCCUGCUUUUGUGGGGUGCCCGAGUGGCGAACGGGUGAGUAACACGUGAGUAACCUGCCCUUGACUUUGGGAUAACUUCAGGAAACUGGGGCUACUACCGGAUAGGAGAUCCUGCUGCAUGGUGGGGGUUGGAAAGUUUCGGCUGUUGGGGAUGGACUCGCGGCUUAUCAGCUUGUUGGUGAGGUAGUGGCUUACCAAGGCUUUGACGGGUAGCCGGCCUGAGAGGGUGACCGGCCACAUUGGGACUGAGAUACGGCGCAGACUCCUACGGGAGGCAGCAGUGGGGAAUAUGGCACAAUGGGCGGAAGCCUGAGGCAGCAACGCCGCGUGCGGGAUGACGGCCUUCGGGUUGUAAACCGCUUUCGCAUGUGACGAAGCGUGAGUGACGGUAAUGGGUAAAGAAGCACCGGCUAACUACGUG